UUUCUAGAGGGGCGUUAAUCGAGUCCCUGAGCUGCUGUGGAUUAGGAAAUGAAUGUCACAGCCCAAGACGGCUCCUAAACUGAGAAGGGGGAAAAAACAAAACCAAAAAAAAUCUGAAAAAUGUAACCAGGAAUUAGUGAUUCCUAGCGGCUUAAAAGGUUGCUUUAAUUACAUUGUUGAUUAAGUUUAUUUAGCAAAGGAGAAGUAUCCUCUGCCAUGUGGAAAUUUUGAGGAAUAUCUGCUACAGAUUUUGGAGGACAUUUAGUAAACGCACCUUGUAUGUGCAUCAGAAUGACCUAAAUUAUACCCAAAUUAACAACACUUACAGAUGUGGCGUUGGAACCAAUAUCGAGGUUCAGUGAGAUUUAAAAUCAUAGGGUGCUUAUGAAAAUCAAUCCAAAUGAAGUCUCACCUCUGAACGUCAAAAAUGCAAUUAAAAUGCCAGAUAAUGCUUUUAUGUCAUUUAGACAAAAAGGUGAAAAAGAAUCAGGGAUGUGGGGAUUUGUACACUCAUAUUGUUGUUUGAAGUGUAAAUUGGUAGACUCUUCCUAGAGGAAAUCAUCUAUACAAAACAAUAAUAAGGCAGUGAUGGUCAAAUGUAAGUGGCCUAAAAGUAGUAAGUAAAAAAGGAUACGUAAUCAUAGUUAGUAUUGGUUGAAUAAAUUACAGUAGAUGUUAUGUAAAAACUAGGCAACCUUUGACAGUGAACCUAAAAAUUGGUAUAUUUAUAUAGGCAUCUGAAAACAUGAAUUUUAGGUACAAAAACAUGUAAAGUGACAAAUAGCCACAAUCAUAAAAGACAAAAAACAUGAGAAUAUUAUGAUUAUCCCUGAAUGGUUAGACUUUUCACUGAUUUUUUUAUGCAUUUUAUAUUUUCCAGACACAUCUGAGAUGAGCAUACUUUUUUUUUUUUUUUAACAGAGUUAGACAGUGAGAGAGAAAGUCAGAGAGAAAGGUCUUCUUUCCGUUGGUUCACCCCCCAAAUGGCCGCCACAGCAGACACUGCGCCAAUCGGAAGCCAGGAGCCAGGUACUCCCACCUGGUGCGGGUACAGGGCCCAAGCACUUGGGCCAUCCUCCACUGCCCUACUAGGCCACAGCAGAGAGCUGGACUGGAAGAGGAGCAACCGAGACUAGAACCAGGCGCCCAUGUGGGAUGCUGGCGCUGCAGGCGGAGGAUUAACCGAGCAGAGUGGACAGUGAGAGAGAGAGACAGAGAAAGGUCUUCCUUUUCCGUUGGUUCACCCCUCAAUGGCCACUGCAGCCGGCGCACUAUGGCUGGCAUGCUGUGCCGAUCCGAAGCCAGAAACCAGGUGCUUCUCUUGGUCUCCCAUGCAGGUGCAGGGCUCAAGGACUUGCGCCAUCCUCCACUGCCCUCCUGGGCCACAGCAGAGAGCUGGACUGGAAGAGGAGCAACCAGGACAGAAUCUGGCGCCCCAACCGGGACUAGAACCCGGGGUGCUGGCGCCGCAGGUGGAGGAUUAGCCUAUUGAGGCACGGUGCCGGCCUGGUGUUGCAUCCUUUAAGAACUGGUACCCGAAUACCUUGUCUUUUCAUAGUUUUUUCCUCAUGCCCUCUAAUUUAGUCUUUCUGAACUACCGCAAUUGCUCAAAUGUUUCCAUACUUUUUGUAUCUUCAAACAAGCAAUUCUUUUUGCUUUCUUGGCCUUUAUUCUAUUUAGAUCCUAGACCUUCUCUAAACUUCCACUCAGAUUUCCUGACUCAGUAUGUGACCGGUAUUAGGUAAAUAAUAAAUAUUAAAUCUA